GAAAUUAUAGUCAAUAGCUGAAUGACGCAAAUAACGUUAAGCUAAUAUAAUUUGCUCCAAAUAUUAACAGGCAGCAAUGGUUCCAAGGUCAUUCUCAAACAAAUGUGUACUAUCUGUCUAUAUGGUUACACAUAGUCUUGCAAUUAUAUUCUUCCGCAAAAACAAAUUCAUGUUCUUGUUCUUUGCGCUAGCCAGAAAGUUCUCUAAGAAUAGGAAAUUCACUUUUUGUAUCUCUCAGUUAUUGAUUUCAAGCAAUCAGUCAGUUCUCCUUUUGCCAUAUUGGUAAGAUCUUAAGACUUGUUUUGAUUUCUGGUUCUCAUAUUGUGCAUGGAUGGUAAGCAACUCCCACUUCCAACCGAGAGAUUAUGAGUUCGAGUCUCUCCAAGAGCAAGGGGGAAGUUCUUGGAGGGAAGGAUGUCGGGGGUCUAUUUGGAAACAGCCUCUCUACCCCAGGNNNNNNNNNNNNNNNNNNNNNNNNNNNNNNNNNNNNNNNNNNNNNNNNNNNCUAUUUGGAAACAGCCUCUCUACCCCAGGGUAGAGAUAAGGUCUGCGUACAUACUACCCUCCCCAGACCCCAUUAUGUGGGAUUAUACUGGGUUGUUAUUGUUGUAUAUUGUGUAUGGAUGAUCACAAAAUUGUCACUUCCUUUCUGUUAGAGGAAUCUCCAGCUGUGUGAGAUAAUUUUUCUCCCAAUGACCUUUUUGGCUGCCUUUAGACAUUGUUUGAGUUGUUCUGGCAAGAGCUGAAUUGCCUUAUUAGCUUCUAUACUAGAUUUGCGUUCACCAAUUUAUGAUUAUUGGCCGAGCGGAUUCAGAAUUUUAUGUUUAUGAGUUCCUACCGUAAUCUCAAAUUAAUAUGUUCACAGUUAUUAUUUAUAAAAAUUUAAUGAAUUUCUUAAUAUAAAUACAUUAUAUACGUAAAAAUUAUUGGGUUACGAGAUAUCAUUGGAGUCUUCUUUGAGAGCCCUGAAUUCUUGGGAGGGGCAGUUGGGAGAGUCGGGGUAUUUUUUCGAAAUAAUUUUAUUUAAUAUGUGUAAUUUUCUUUCACAGCCUACAGCUACCCAGAAAGCUGCAAGUAUUCAUAAUUGUCCAAAAAAUAUAUUAAAUAAUCUGCCAUCUUGUGUAUGAAUGAACCUCAAUAAUCACGUCGAAUUAGGAUCAGAUUUUCAUGAUAGUUAUGUUCCACGAGGUAAUUACAAUUUUACACGUUGUAUUAGUGAAAUAGUUUGGUGGAUAUCUUAAUUAACAUUUGGCCCCCGAUAUGUUUAUAAUUUAAAAUGUACCGACUUGUGGGGUGUACAAAGGAAAUAGAUAAAUUGUACCAAAUUACAAGCCCAGUAAUCUGAACCAAACUGAGAAAAAGAAUUCGAUUAUGGUAUGUCCCUUAUUAGUAUACUUAUUUUAGCAUGACUUAGUACUUUUAGAUUAUAUUUAUUUUUUUAUUAUGACUUUUUAAUUAGCAAUAUUUAUAUUAUGAUUUUAUUGAAUAUUUUAGGAUAAUGCCAUGACACAUCUCAUAUUUUGUAUUAUUUUCUUAGAUAAUACUUUAUAUAGUUGUAUCUUACUAGGAUUAAAGAAAUACUUUGAAUGCAAAUUAUAUGUUUUGUUCUAUGAAAAUUCUUUCGGAAAAAAAAACCCGCAAAAUACCGAAUAACUCGAAAAUACGAAAAAAUUGAGAUUGGAAUACCCGAUUUUAUAGAUUUGGUUUGGUCUUUAGAUUUAAUAACCCGACACAAUUAAUUUAGUUUGAUAAUUAUAAAAUCCGAAUUAAUGUACACCCCUGCUGACUUGUUACCUCAUGCACAGCACAUGGCUGGAAACUUCGGCAUAGUUUCAUUCUUCCCGUACGUAAUACGUUUUCCUUGCUUUGUUUUUUUUACUUCUCAGUCUCAGUUGUCUUAUUUGUUUUAUUUUGGGGGAGGGCUGGAAGGUUUUUGUGCUUGGGUUUUCAUUAUAGUAACUAUAUAUAGUUCUGCUGAUAUAACGAGUUUUUCAUCUCAGGUCCAAUAUCGGGUUAUUGUCGUUGUAGCUGUCAGGGGGAUGCAGCAAGCGAUGCCGGUUUCAACCGGACUCAAUACUUUUGAGCGGAGCAUAAAUUUAUAUAUACAAAUCUAUUAAAAUGAUGAAAAAUGGUGAAUAUGAUCCUAUAACUUUAAAUAUACUAUGGGUUCAAUAUUAAAAACAUUAAAGGUUGAACCCAUAAAAUUUAAAUUCUAAACCCGUCUUUGAUCGUUGUUGUUGUAACUAGAAGAGAGCCCUUUGUAGAGUGCAUGAUGAGCUAUUAAUAAGUUUACUUGCAUGAGGAUCCAGAAUUGUAGCCGAUAAAGUGGAUAAUGGCCCAAACUCUUAUUUUGUGAUGUUAUCAGACCAGACUGCAGUUUAACUG
rnacentral:lncRNA from 1 species